GGUCAUAGUGACUGGUUGACCAGUUGACUGUCUGCCCCCUGGUGGUCAGUGCAUGUCAUAGUGACUGUUUGACCAGUUGACUGUCUGCC
rnacentral:pre_miRNA from 1 species